UUAUGCGACCAUACCAGCACUAAAGCACCAGAUCCCAUCAGAACUCCGAAGUUAAGCGUGCUUGGGCGAGAGUAGUACUAGGAUGGGUGACCUCCUGGGAAGUCCUCGUGUUGCAUUCC
rnacentral:rRNA from 2 species